rnacentral:ncRNA from 1 species
AUAAAGUUUUAUUUUAGCUUAAAAUUUUAUUGUUAAUUUAUUUUAUAUGUAAAUUUUUGUGUGAAUUUAAUAUUAUUUUAAAAAUCUUAUUAUUAAAUUUAUUCGCAGUAAUUAAUAUUAUUAAUUAAAGAAAUUUAGAAAUAGUUAUAUUAAAAAGUAUUGGUUAAAUUUGUGCCAGCAGCCGCGGUUAUACAAAUAAUGCAAAUAAAUUUUAUUAGUUUAAGUUAAAUUGAAUUUAUAAAUUUUUAAAAAUAAAUUUAUUAGGUGAAAUUUUAAAUUUAUUAAAUUUUUAAAUUAAAAAAUAUUAAAGCUUAAAAAUUUUAUUUAAAAACUAGGAUUAGAUACCCUAUUAUUUAAAAUGUAAUUUUUUACUAAAGUAGUAUUAGAUAUGUUCUUGAAAUUUAAAAAAUUUGGCGGUAUUUUAGUCUAUUUAGAGGAAUCUGUUCUAUAAUCGAUAAUCCACGUUGGACCUAACUUAAAUUUGUUGUCAGUUUAUAUACCGUCGUUAUAAGAAUGUUUUAUAAGAAUAAUAAUUUUCUAUAAUUUUUAUUAAAAUUUAUAUCAGAUCAAGGUGUAGCUUAUAUUUAAGAAGAAAUGGAUUACAAUAAAAUUAUUUUUUGGAUAUAAAUUUGAAAAAGUUUAUUGAAAUUGGAUUUAAAUGUAAAAUUAUAAAGAUUAAUAAUUUGAUUUUAGCUCUAAAAUAUGUACACAUCGCCCGUCGCUCUUAUUAUUAAGGUAAGAUAAGUCGUAACAUAGUAGAUGUACCGGAAGGUGUAUCUAGAUUGA